rnacentral:rRNA from 1 species
AACGAACGCUGGCGGCAUGCCUAACACAUGCAAGUCGAACGAAGCCUUCGGGCUUAGUGGCGCACGGGUGCGUAACACGUGGGAAUCUGCCCUUCGGUUCGGAAUAACAGUUAGAAAUGACUGCUAAUACCGGAUGAUGACGAAAGUCCAAAGAUUUAUCGCCGAAGGAUGAGCCCGCGUAGGAUUAGGUAGUUGGUAGGGUAAUGGCCUACCAAGCCGACGAUCCUUAGCUGGUCUGAGAGGAUGAUCAGCCACACUGGGACUGAGACACGGCCCAGACUCCUACGGGAGGCAGCAGUGGGGAAUAUUGGACAAUGGGCGAAAGCCUGAUCCAGCAAUGCCGCGUGAGUGAUGAAGGCCUUAGGGUUGUAAAGCUCUUUUACCAAGGAUGAUAAUGACAGUACCUGGAGAAUAAGCUCCGGCUAACUCCGUGCCAGCAGCCGCGGUAAU